rnacentral:rRNA from 1 species
GUAGGGUGCGAGCGUUAAUCGGAUUUACUGGGCGUAAAGCGUGCGCAGGCGGCCCGUUAAGACAGGUGUGAAAUCCCUGGGCUCAACCUAGGAAUUGCGCUUGUGACUGGCGGGCUCGAGUACGGUAGAGGGGGGUGGAAUUCCUGGUGUAGCAGUGAAAUGCGUAGAGAUCAGGAGGAACACCGAUGGCGAAGGCAGCCCCCUGGGCCUGUACUGACGCUCAUGCACGAAAGCGUGGGGAGCAAACAGGAUUAGAUACCCUGGUAGUCCACGCCCUAAACGAUGGGUACUAGCCGUUUGGUGCGCGAUAGCGCUGAGUGGCGAAGCUAACGCGUGAAGUACCCCGCCUGGGGAGUACGGCCGCAAGGUUG